CGUGUGCGUCUGCUGCUGGAUCCUCUUGAUGGUGGCUCCCUUGGGUCCCACCACCAGGCCCACCACCCGGUAGGGGACUCUCA
ensembl:miRNA